GCCGGGUGCAGUGGCACACGCCUGUAAUCCAAGCAGCUCGGGAGGCUGAGGCAGGAGGAUUGCAAGUUCAAAGCCAGCCUCAGCAAAAGUGAGGUGCUAAGCAAUUCAGUUAAACCCUGUCUCUA
rnacentral:sRNA from 1 species